UCAAGCUAGAAAGAGCGCAAGGGGAAUGCCUUGGCAUCAGGAGCCGAUGAAGGACGCGACAAGCUGCGAUAAGCUUCGGGGAGCUGCAAAUAAGCAUUGAUCCGGAGAUUUCCGAAUGGGGAAACCCGGCACGGCAAUACCGUGUCAGCGUGCACUGAAUCAAAUAGGUGUACGUGGGGAACCGCCUGAACUGAAACAUCUAAGUAGGGCGAGGAAAAGACAUCAACCGAGAUUCCGCAAGUAGUGGCGAGCGAACGCGGAAGAGGCCAAACCAGAGGUCAUUGAUCUCUGGGGUAUGGACUUGCAUCAUGAUCAGAGGUAUCUAGUCGAAUGGCGUGGGAAAGCCAACCACAGAGGGUGAGAGUCCCGUAGACGAAAGAGAAGACUGACAGCGAGUAUCCAGAGUACCGCCGGACACGUGAAACCCGGUGGGAACAUGGGAGGACCACCUUCCAAGCCUAAAUACUACCUGAUGACCGAUAGUGGAGCAGUACCGUGAGGGAAAGGUGAAAAGAACCCCGGGAGGGGAGUGAAAUAGUACCUGAAACCUUGUGCUUACAAGCAGUCAGAGCACGUUAAAGUGUGAUGGCGUACCUUUUGUAGAAUGGUCCGGCGAGUUAUAGUCACUGGCGAGGUUAAGCAAUUCAGUUGUGGAGCCGAAGGGAAACCGAGUCUUAAUAGGGCGUCGAGUCAGUGGCCAUAGACCUGAAACCGGGUGACCUAUCCAUGAGCAGGUUGAAGUUGGUGUAAAAACCAAUGGAGGACCGAACCCACGUUCGUUGCAAUGACCGGGGAUGACUUGUGGAUAGCGGAGAAAUUCCAAUCGAACUCGGAGAUAGCUGGUUCUCCCCGAAAUAGCUUUAGGGCUAGCGUUGUGUUAGUUUACCGGAGGUAGAGCACUGAAUAGGCUAGGGGGCGAUGAGCUUACUGAACCUUAUCAAACUUCGAAUGCCGGAUAAAUGGUGCACAGCAGUCAGACAGUGUGAGAUAAGUUUCAUUGUCAAGAGGGAAACAGCCCAGACCCACAGCUAAGGUCCCAAAUGAACGCUAAGUGGAAAACGAUGUGGGGUUGCAAAAACAACCAGGAUGUUGGCUUAGAGGCAGCCACUCAUUAAAAGAGUGCGUAAUAGCUCACUGGUCGAGUGACCCUGCGCGGAAAAUAUAACGGGGCUAAGCGUCCAACCGAAGCUUGGGAUGUCUUAAUGACAUGGUAGGGGAGCGUCGUGUACGGGGUGAAGCAUGAGCGAGAGCACAUGUGGACUUUACACGAGUGAGAAUGCCGGAAUGAGUAGCGAGAAUUAUGUGGGAAUCAUAAUGGCCGAAAAUCUAAGGUUUCUUGGGGAAAGGUUCGUCCGCCCAAGGUAAGCCGGGAGCUAAGGCGAGGCCGAAAGGCGUAGUCGAUGCACAUACGGUUGAAAUUCCGUAGCCGCCGAAAUUGUUAAGCACAGGGACACAUAGAGAUAUCCGAACCCGGGCGUUGGUUGACCCGGGCGCAAGGGACCGAACAUCAGUAGGGAAGUCGGAGAUGCUCUGUGGCGAGAAAAGCUGUGCGUAUUGAUUAGGCGCCCGUACCGCAAACCGACACAGGUAGAUGAGGAGAGAAUCCUAAGGCCAACGGGAGAAGGGUUGUUAAGGAACUCGGCAAAUUGACCCCGUAACUUCGGGAUAAGGGGAGCCUCCUACGGGAGGCCGCAGUGAAUAGGCCCAAGCAACUGUUUACCAAAAACACAGGUCUCUGCUAAAUCGAAAGAUGACGUAUAGGGGCUGACGCCUGCCCGGUGCCGGAAGGUUAAGAGGAGAGCUUAGCGCAAGCGAAGGUUCGAAUUGAAGCCCCGGUAAACGGCGGCCGUAACUAUAACGGUCCUAAGGUAGCGAAAUUCCUUGUCAGGUAAGUUCUGACCCGCACGAAUGGCGUAAUGAUUUGGGCACUGUCUCAACAGCCCGCCCGGCGAAAUUGUAGUACUGGUGAAGAUGCCAGUUACCCGCAACUAGACGGAAAGACCCCAUGGAGCUUUACUGUAGCUUAAUACUGAAGAUCGGUAAUGCAUGUACAGGAUAGGUGGGAG
rnacentral:rRNA from 1 species